UACAGAGGGGGCAAGCGUUGUUCGGAAUUACUGGGCGUAAAGGGCGUGUAGGCGGCCAACUAAGUCCGACGUGAAAUCCCCAGGCUUAACCUGGGAACUGCGUCGGAUACUGGAUGGCUUGAAUCCGGGAGAGGGAUGCGGAAUUCCAGGUGUAGCGGUGAAAUGCGUAGAUAUCUGGAGGAACACCGGUGGCGAAGGCGGCAUCCUGGACCGGCAUUGACGCUAAAGCGCGAAAGCCAGGGGAGCAAACGGG
rnacentral:rRNA from 1 species